GGGGUUGUGGCUCAGUGGUAGAGUGCUAGUGCCUAGCACAUGUGGGGUGCUGGGUUCAAUUCUCAGCACCACUA
rnacentral:tRNA from 1 species